UACGUAGGGGGCAAGCGUUGUCCGGAAUUAUUGGGCGUAAAGAGCGCGUAGGCGGUCCGAUAAGUCGGCUGUGAAAGUCAAGGGCUCAACCCUUGAAAGCCGGCCGAUACUGUCGGACUAGAGUCCGGAAGAGGCGAGUGGAAUUCCCGGUGUAGCGGUGAAAUGCGCAGAUAUCGGGAGGAACACCAAUGGCGAAGGCAGCUCGCUGGGACGGUACUGACGCUGAGGCGCGAAAGCUAGGGAGCAAACAGG
rnacentral:rRNA from 1 species